AUUCGCCGCCUCGGUUUCCUGGAUUUCACCUGCAGUCUGAGUCGGACGUGGAUCGGGGAGUCUGCGCCUCGCCUUGAGGUUCGAGGAAAUACACGUGUUCAAAUGUAAAUCGAUAUUUGAUCGAUGAUAUUCCUAAUUUUGGUCGCUACACUAAAAUAGAGAUGAACAGUGGUGUGAUGGCAAAGAUGGCACGAACAGACGCGCUCGAACCAUGCGUCCCUUCAUUGCGCCAGAUGCGCUACAUGGAACAUCGGCCUACCGAGCCACGCGAACGGAGCAAACUGCGCCAGGUUUUACCGGAAUCAUUAGGGAGAAGGACAACGGCCUUAAACCGGUA